GUAUUUGUACUUAGUUAACCUGCUCAGAUGACAUGAGUACGUCUUAGAAAUCCAGAAAUGCAAUAUCCAGUAUUACAGUGGAUCUAAUAGCACUGGAUUACAUUGUUUUUCUUAAUACAAUCUGUUGAAUACUAACAUGCUUUUGACCCAGUGAGGGUAUUGUCCUUUCUCAGCCACACAACGAGCAUUGUAGUCCAUUCUCCUGGGAUAGGAGACAUUUUGUUUUCGUGCUCUUUUCACACCAGCACUCCCUUUUCCCACAGAAACCCUCUCCUUUCUUCCGUUCCAAGGCAGCCCUUUUCAAACCGGGAAGCUCCAGGUCAGUUUCCCUUUCCAAGUUUUACGGCCUGCCAUGUUGUCUAUUCUGCUCAGCUAUUUAAAAAAUGUUGAAUAUCAACAAUGGCUUUCACUGGUGUAUUGUCAACUUUUGUAUGAAGCAAUCUUGGCUGAAUGAGAUGGGUCCCAGAGCAGGGAGGGCUUGGCUGCGGCAUGCACCGCAACACCACUGGCGCCUGCCUGGCUCUCUCUCUCUCUCUCUCUCUCUCUCUGCUGCAGGCAGGAUCAGGGAGGCAGGAGCAGCCGUCCCUCUAGUCCCUGUCUCAGCCCAGCCGUUGGGGUCUGCAUGGGGCUGGGAAAGCCACCCCCUCGUCAGUCCACUCCGCGAACCCAUCCUCAUCCUCCCCCUGCCUCUGGCCCUGUCGUCUGGGAGCCCCCGAAGGUGUGACACCUCACACAGGGAUCGGAGAGCAGGAGCCCCGGGGGUCAGUCAGAGCUGGGUGGAUCUGUCAGCACCCUAUACACUGUGCUGUGCUCUGGGUCUUCCCUCCCUCCCAGUCCUGAUCCUCAGGUGUCUGGCUGACUGGGUCUCUGGGUCUUCCCUCCCUCCCAGUCCUGAUCCUCAGGUGUCUGGCUGA
rnacentral:lncRNA from 8 species